rnacentral:rRNA from 1 species
UACGUAGGGGGCGAGCGUUAUCCGGAUUUACUGGGUGUAAAGGGAGCGCAGACGGAUGAUCAAGUCAGAUGUGGAAGCCCCGGGCAUAACUCGGGGAGUGCAUUUGAAACUGGUGAUCUGGAGUGCUGGAGAGGUAAGCGGAAUUCCUGGUGUAGCGGUGAAAUGCGUAGAUAUCAGGAAGAACACCGGUGGCGAAGGCGGCUUACUGGACAGUAACUGACGUUGAGGCUCGAAAGCGUGGGGAGCAAAC